rnacentral:lncRNA from 1 species
UCGCCUCUCACCCUCAUGCUCUCGCCCUCACCAACGCAACCUGCGCCUUCCUCGCCUCCGACCCCAUUAAGACUGCACCGCAACUCUUUUUUUUUUUUCCCCUCUCCGACCCUCCUCUACUGCCUCCGACGACGACCCGCCUCCAACGACGACGCCUUUCUCGCCCUUCCCCACUUUUUCUCGCCCUUUCCCUCUCCCUCCUCCUUUGUUUCCUUCGCCACUUCCGACGAUGACGCCUCUCUGCUGACGCUAAUGCCACGAAGGUCGCUGCGACGUCGCAGCCUCAAAGCGGGAAGUCCUUAGCGACGUCAUCGCCGGCGCAGUGGUCGUUGGCGGAGAGGCAUGACAAAAAAAAAUUAUAGAAAAUAAAUAAUAAAAAAAUAAAGACAAAAAAAAUAGAAGAAAGAAGAAGAUGAUGAAAUUGCACUAUUUAAAAAACAAUUGCACUGUUUUAAAAUUUUUCACUGUUUUAAAUGAAAGUUGCACUCUUUGAAAAAAAAUUGCACUCUUUGAAAUCACAUUACACUGUUUAGAACAAAAUUGCACUAUUUUGACAGAAUUUACACUAUUUCGUUUUCUAUUUUUUAUACUAUUUUUCUUCCAUUCUUUUUCCUCUCUCCUCAUCCUCAUCCUUAUCCUCAUCCUCAUCCUCAUCCUCUACCUCUAGAGGGAGG